UGAGGAACACGUGAGUAACCGGGCGUCCGGUGGGGGAUAUCGGGCCGAAAGGCGCGGCAAUCCCGCAUGCGCCCCGGGCCGCGCAAGCGGCCGGGGGGAAAGGCCUUCGGGUCGCCGGACGGGGGGCUCGCGGCCCAUUAGCUAGUUGGGGGGGUAACGGCCUCCCAAGGCGACGAUGGGUAGCCGGCCUGAGAGGGUGAUCGGCCACACUGGGACUGAGACACGGCCCAGACUCCUACGGGAGGCAGCAGUAGGGAAUCUUCCACAAUGGGCGCAAGCCUGAUGGAGCAACGCCGCGUGAGUGAAGACGGCCUUCGGGUUGUAAAGCUCUGUCUGUCGGGACGAGGACCGCGCCGGACGGCGCGGGGGGACGGUACCGGCGGAGGAAGCCCCUGCAAACUACGUGCCAGCAGCCGCGGUAAGACGUAGGGGGCAAGCGUUGUCCGGAAUUACUGGGCGUAAAGGGCGUGUAGGCGGUCGCGCACGUAGCGGUUUUCAGCCGUCGGCUCACCCGACGGAGGGCGGCUAAACGGCGCGGCUCGAGGGCAGGAGAGGUGCAUGGAAUUCCUGGUGGAGCGGUGAAAUGCGUAGAGAUCAGGAAGAACACCGGUGGCGAAGGCGGUGCACUGGCCUGGCCCUGACGCUGAGGCGCGACAGCGUGGGGAGCGAACGGGAUUAGAUACCCCGGUAGUCCACGCCGUAAACGAUGGAUACGAGGUGUCGCGGGGGUCCACCUCGCGGUGCCGGAGCUAACGCACUCAGUAUCCCGCCUGGGGAGUACGGCCGCAAGGUUGAAACUCAAAGGAAUUGACGGGGGCCCGCACAAGCAGUGGAGCAUGUGGUUUAAUUCGACGCAACGCGCAGAACCUUACCAGGGCUAGACGGGACCGUGAGCCCCGCGAAAGCGGGGGGCUGCUUCGGCAGAGCGGUCGUCAGGUGCUGCAUGGUUGUCGUCAGCUCGUGUCGUGAGAUGUUGGGUUAAGUCCCGCAACGAGCGCAACCCUCGUCGACUGUUGCCAGCGAUUCGGUCGGGCACUCAGUCGAGACAGCCGGGGACGACCCGGAGGAAGGUGGGGAUGACGUCAAAUCCGCAUGGCCUUGAUGUCCUGGGCUACACACGUGCUACAAUGGCGCCGACAACGGGCCGCAACCCCGCGAGGGGACGCGAAUCCUUCAAACGGCGUCUCAGUUCGGAUUGCAGGCUGCAA
rnacentral:rRNA from 1 species